rnacentral:rRNA from 1 species
UACGUAGGGGGGCAAGCGUUGUCCGGAUUUAUUGGGCGUAAAGAGCGUGUAGGCGGCCAGACAGGUCAGCUGUGAAAACUCGAGGCUCAACCUCGAGACGUCGGUUGAAACCGUCUGGCUAGAGUCCGGAAGAGGAGAGUGGAAUCCCGGGUGUAGCGGUCGAAAUGCGCCAGAUAUCGGGGAAGAACACCCGUGGCGAAGGCGGCUCUCUGGGACGGUACUGACGCUGAGACGCGAAGCGUGGGGAGCGAACAGG